GAUGAACGCUAGCUACAGGCUUAACACAUGCAAGUCGAGGGGCAGCAUGAACUUAGCCUGCUAAGUUUGAUGGCGACCGGCGCACGGGUGAGUAACACGUAUCCAACCUGCCGAUGACUCGGGGAUAGCCUUUCGAAAGAAAGAUUAAUACCCGAUGGCAUAGUUCUUCCGCAUGGUAGAACUAUUAAAGGAUUCCGGUAAAGGAUGGGGAUGCGUUCCAUUAGGUUGUUGGUGAGGUAACGGCCCACCAAGCCUUCGAUGGAUAGGGGUUCUGAGAGGAAGGUCCCCCACAUUGGAACUGAGACACGGUCCAA
rnacentral:rRNA from 1 species